GACGAACGCUGGCGGCGUGCUUAACACAUGCAAGUCGAACGAGAAUCUGUGGAAAGAGGAUUCGUCCAAUUGAAGCAGAGGACAGUGGCGGACGGGUGAGUAACGCGUGAGGAACCUGCCUUUCAGAGGGGGACAACAGUUGGAAACGACUGCUAAUACCGCAUAACGCGUAGAGAUCGCAUGGUCUUUACGCCAAAGAUUUAUCGCUGAAAGAUGGCCUCGCGUCUGAUUAGCUAGUUGGUGAGGUAACGGCCCACCAAGGCGACGAUCAGUAGCCGGACUGAGAGGUUGAACGGCCACAUUGGGACUGAGAUACGGCCCAGACUCCUACGGGAGGCAGCAGUGGGGAAUAUUGGGCAAAUGGGCGCAAGCCUGACCCAGCAACGCCGCGUGAAGGAAGAAGGCUUUCGGGUUGUAAACUUCUUUUCUUUAGGGACGAAGCAAGUGACGGUACCUAAGGAAUAAGCCACGGCUAACUAACGUGACAGCAGCCGCGGUAAU
rnacentral:rRNA from 1 species